rnacentral:rRNA from 1 species
UGGGGGAUAUUGCACAAUGGGCGAAAGCCUGAUGCAGCGACGCCGCGUGGGGGAUGAAGGCUUUCGGGUUGUAAACCUCUUUCGCUAUCGAACAAGGCCCGCUUAGGGUGGGUUGAGGGUAGGUGGAGAAGAAGCGCCGGCUAACUACGUGCCAGCAGCCGCGGUAAUACGUAGGGCGCGAGCGUUGUCCGGAAUUAUUGGGAGUAAAGGGCUUGUAGGCGGCUUGUUGCGUCUGCUGUGAAAACGCGGGGCUUAACUUCGCGCGUGCAGUGGGUACGGGCAGGCUUGAGUGUGGUAGGGGUGACUGGAAUUCCAGGUGUAGCGGUGGAAUGCGCAGAUAUCUGGAGGAACACCGAUGGCGAAGGCAGGUCACUGGGCCAUUACUGACGCUGAGGAGCGAAAGCAUGGGUAGCGAACAGG